ensembl:lncRNA
CAGAAUCUCCCCGCACCUGGAUGCCAGGAAACCAAUCAUCGUUCAACCACUUUGUUGGGCCAUUAACAGAGCCUCGAACUCUAUCUUUGUCCAAAUGAAAGCACAAAGAAAAUAAUUUUUCAUCUGAAGAAUCACCUUAAAAUCCCCAAAUGGAAAGUAAGAGGAGCAGUAAACCUCUUAAACUCCAGUUUGGCGGCUCUAACACAGGGCAUUAAGGGCACUAUUCUUUCCUGUCCCCCAGGAGGGGAGUAACAGGUGAAUCUUGCUGGGAUCAUUUUGAAUUUCCAGGGCUUCCCUCCGGAUUAAUCCCCUCACAGGCACGGAAGGCAGCCUGGUGGACUCCGCUUGCCUGCGCCCCAGUCGGGCAGCCCUAUCUUUCCAAUUCGCAGCCAGGCCAGCCCUUUCUGCUGCACAGAGAUCUACUAGACCCCAAGUGGGGGGAAUCUGGGCGGCUUGAGAGGCCAAUGAUGGCCGUAAUCAUUUUCAAAGGGCCAAUAUCUAGAGGUGGGAAACUGGCCGCCAUAACCUGCACUCCCCACUGUGGUGAGGACAACCCCUCCACCGGGCCCCUUUACUUGGCAAGUGGCUAUUUUCCGUGUUCUUCCUGUUCCCCUGCUGAUUUUAGAAGAAUGGUCCUUAGACAUUUAAACAAAUGCAAAGAAAUGUUUGUAAAGUAAAAUGCUACAGUACAUAGGAUGUGAGGACAAUCUGACUGUAAGAAAUACUGAUGAGUUGCCUCACUUGGUGGCCAAGAUUUGAUUCACAGAGCUGUCUGCCCUGGCAUGCAGAGCUCUGGAAGCUGGGAGAAGAGAAAAGACAGCAUUCCUGCGGAUUCCCAGUCAUUUCCAGUCAUGCUUCUCUGUGUUUCGGAUGUACGGUGCCCUCCCAAAGAGAGAGUGUGGCUUUAAACUAAUGAGAUGGAAGGUGCCAUGACAGCGCAGAGUAUCAUAGCCUUUCCACCACUCUGGUUUUACUUUUCAUGAAGAUUAUUAACAUUUGGCAAAGAGUCAUUACUUGACAAUUUAUUAUCCUGUUCAAAUCCAGGCUGGGUAAGACCACCGACUCAUCAACUGGGCCUGUGCAGAUGACCGAUAGGUGACACUUUGACAUCAUGGAGCUGAAAACUCCACCCUCAGAUCAUAUAGACAGCAGCAUUUUGUGAACAUGUGUUCUAUGAAGAGCCACGAAGCUUGACUAUGCUUGUACAGGUCAUCAAUUACCUCGUUCCUCCUUACCUCUGGUCAUCUGUCUCCAUACUUUAGACUGCCCUGCCCUUCAUCCCAUAAAGUGUGCCCCAAGCCCCAGAUCAGGGAGGCGGAUUUGAGAGCACAAGCCCCUGUCUCCUAGCAGACUGAUCUCGCAAUAAAGCCUUUCUUCCCUCAAAGGCUGGUGUGCCAUGGUGUCGGCUUCUGUGUGCAUGGGGGGUGAGCCCUUGCUCAGUAACAGUAUUAUUCAACAUUUUUUACUGAAACUCACUGAAAAGAUACAUUUUACUUUGGGAUCCAGUAUGUACAUAUAUAAUGCACGCUGAUGUUUUCUAUUUUAUUCUAUUUCAUUUUCUUAAAAAAAAAAUGCUUGUUGUGACCCACCGAAUGGAUUUUAUGAUUCUAUAUUGAUUUCCUUGUGGAUGUCAACCCACGAUUUGAAAAAUACUUCUUUAGCAUUUACAGUACAAGGUUGGGCACGGAUU